UUUUUUCUUUCUUCUUGU
rnacentral:sRNA from 1 species